rnacentral:misc_RNA from 1 species
UUUCCGUAGGUGAACCUGCGGAAGGAUCAUUAGUGAAUUGAAUAUGUUAGCGGACCUCUUCGGAGUCCCUAGUAUCAAAUCAUAUCCAUAACACCUGUGAACUGUAAGGCUGUCUUGAAAACGAAAGUGAUUAGAGCGCCUGCCCAUUUUAUACAAACAUUAAAGUAACAAACGUAGUCUUAUUAUAAUCUAAUAAACUUUCAACAACGGAUCUCUUGGCUCUC